GCCUGGGAAUGGAGUAAGGACAGGGAAAUGCUGGCCGAGGGUCUGACGGCGGCGAGGAGGCCCAGCCCGUCCUUAGCCCCUGCCUCCUGUCCUCACUGCCCCACCUGGGGAUCCGCAGCGGCUGGCUGUGCACCUCCUAUAUUCCAGGACGGGGAGCAGCCGCUGGGCCUGCACUGCAGGAUGGAAAUUUCCGGCUCCUCUCACCUUAGCAUCCGAUGCAAAGGCUUACAGGGCCGCGUUGUUACAGAGCCCCUGGCCCGUUCCUCUCCCCGCUCUGACGAGGUGCUCACCCACGUACCUGUCACAGCACUUUGAAAGAACGCAAUCAUUAUGCAGGCUUGUGUGCAGCUCGUUUUUCAUGGUGGUGCCUACACAGUAUCUCAGCAAGAUGUCCACUGGCCAAAGCACAGCCCAAGGUCUCAGGACGCCACUUCCUAGCAUCGCUUUCUCUGUGUGCCGCGGCGACAAAGAGUUAGUGAGAGAGAGAGAGAGACAGGGAGACAGGUCUUCCUUCCAUUGGUUCACCCCCCAAAUGGCCUCUACGGCCGGUGCCAUGCUGAUCCGAAGGCAGGAGCCAGGUGCUUCUCCUGGUCUCCCAUGCGGGUCUCCCAAGCACUUGGGCCAUCCUCCACUGCCUUCUCGGGCCACAGCAGGGAGCUGGACUGGAAGAGGAGCAACCAGGACUAGAACCCAGCACUCAUAUGGGAUGCCGGUGCUGCAGGCGGAGGAUUAACCAAGUGAGCCACGGUGCCAGCCCCUGCAAUCCCUGUGUCUUUUUAAGAUUGGCCCCUCACAGUGAUCACUGCGGCUUCUCUGACGAUUUUGGUUUGUGAAUCCCUUGGGCAGGUGCUCCGGUCUGAAUGCCAUGUUUGCCCGUGUGGCUAGCAUGUAGGUGGAAAAUGCUGAGACGACACGGGCUGGCACAUGUACCACCCCGGCUCAGUGGACUCUGGGCUGACUGAUGGGUGAGAACUGAAGUCGCCACCUCUCCAGCCACACUGCUGUGUCUGCAGUGACCCAGCAGGAGCGCAGCCGACCCCUACUCUGCCGUGGGCUACACUUUCCUAAAGGGAUCCAAAGAAGACACCAAAUGCCCCCUCUCUCCGGAGAUGCCCACCCUGGCACCUCCCCUGCAGAACUGGCGAGAUGUGUCCUGGUGUUGAUGACCACUUACGAGCCUGGACACACUGGUGAAAGUGGAAGAAGUGAAGUUUUAUUUAAAUAAGGAACACAGAAGCUCCCAACAACAUGAUCAGAUCUGGGGCUAGGGGCUCAGUUAUCUCCAAGGAACAAAGGUUGCGGUUAUACAUUAAUACUGUGAAGGCCGGAGGCAGUCUGAUGUUUUAACAACAUUUAUUUAUUUGAAAGGCAGAGUUACAGAGACAAAGGAGAGACAGAGAUCCUCCACAAGCUGGUUCACUCCUCAGAUGGCGGCAAUGACCUGGACUGGGCCAGGCCAAGGCCAGGAGCCAGGAGCUCCAUGGUGCAGGGGCCCAAGGAUUCGUGUCACCCUCCACUGCUUUCCCAGGUGUGCUAGCAGGGAGCUGGAUCAGAAGAGGAGCAGCCCACAGUGCCCACACAGGAUGCCAGUGCUGCAGGCAGCAGCUUAACCUGCGACACAGCAGUGCCGGCCCCAGGCAGGCAGUCUUAAUGGAGCCUUUUCUAGCUAGUUUCUAUCAAAACCUAAAUUUUAUUGUUAGGGAGGAAGUCAGAAAUUCACAUACAUGUGUGAGAAGGACCUAAGGAAAUUGACAUCUACACAGUCCAGCAUCCACAUCUCCAAGUCACCCCAUAACCUUCCAGGUGCAGCCCAGCAUCUGCACGUCAAAGUCCCGCCCAGACCCUGAUACCUGUCCAGGCGGCCCCGCCCCUUCUCCCUGUCCUCACAGACAUCCUUCCUCUAAGGCGCGCACCCUAGAGAGAAGCCAGCCAGGCUUCCUCUGACACCCAGCAGGUCCUUUAUUCUGGAGGAGGAGGAGAGGGGGAGAGAAAAGGCGGGAAGGCAAGACCCAUCCCCUUAAAAACCCAGCCUAAACGUGAACUGCGCACUCGCUCUCAGGUUCUGUCUACAGAGGUGCCCAUCGGUUCUCGUGGAUGUCCCCAUCCUAAUAAACUUUGCUACUUUGCUUUCCACUGCUCUCUGUCUCACACCUAAGUUCUUUCUUGUGUGAAGAUAAGGACCCUUUGCUUCUCCGGUAACAUUUCCAUUGUUGUUGUUGCUUUUUGACAGGCAGAGUGGAUAGUGAGAGAGAGAGACAGAGAAAGGUCUUCCUUUUUGCCGUUGGUUCACCCUCCAAUGGCCGCUGCGGCCGGCGCAUCGUGCUGAUCCGAAGGCAGGAGCCAGGUGCUUCUCCUGGUCUCCCA